GAUGAAGAACGUAGCGAAAUGCGAUAAGUUAUGUGAAUUGCAGAAUUCAGUGAAUCAUCGAAUCUUUGAACGCACAUUGCGCCCCCUGGUAUUCCGGGGGGCAUGCCUGUUCGAGCGUCAUUUCACCACUCAAGCCUCGCUUGGUAUUGGGCAACGCGGUCCGCCGCGUGCCUCAAAUCGACCGGCUGGGUCUUCUGUCCCCUAAGCGUUGUGGAAACUAUUCGCUAAAGGGUGUUCGGGAGGCUACGCCGUAAAACAACCCCAUUUCUAAGGUUGACCUCGGAUCAGGUAGGGAUACCCGCUGAACUUAAGCAUAUCAAUAAGCGGAGGA
rnacentral:misc_RNA from 1 species